GGGGUGGGGGGGCUCUAGCUCCCGUCGGAAUUAGGAUUGUGAGGGUUCUGGUGCCUAGCAUCAAUGCUACAUAAAUGUAGGGUUCAGCGUCACUACUGCGCUUUCCCCCACACUUCACCCUGUCUGCAAAUGAGUGACCACUGCUGUCAGUGUAGUCUUGACAGCCAACGCACAUUUUCUCCUAAGAUGGAGAGGGUGCAACAUCUACUGGAGUCAAGGAAAGGCGGUGUUCUUCAUUGAGCACCUACUGUGUGCUGGGGAGCAAGGGAGAGACCCAGGAGAGGGGUGGAGGUAGACCUGGGAGGAUAGAGGGUGGAGGUGAGGCUGCAGGCUGUUCCCCCUUCCAUCCUUCCCCUUGGGUCAGGAUUUGGGUUAGCCCUUAAAAUCCCUGGGCAGGAUAAGGAUUAAAAUCUGGUGGGGAAAGCAAGAAUUAGGAUUAGGGUCAGGAUUGGGGUCGUCUCCUACAUAUGCUGACUGCAGCCCACCACACUUCAAGGAACUUCUUGUCACGGCUUUCAUAGCUGGAUCUGCUGCUGCCCCCAGCUGCCUGGUCCUCCCUUCCAGGAAGAACCUGAGGCCAGGGCAGCUCCCAGCAGGGACAGAGCCUGGCCUGGAGGCCAGGCCUCAGUGGCUU
rnacentral:lncRNA from 1 species